CCGAAAGUUAAAACUCACAACGCGAGUCUCGUGCGGAAGCAAAUAUGACUGCCGAGACUUUGUGACUCUUCAAGUCUUCCUUUGCUCAAGUCAAACCACACUCGUGAAGCACAUGUGACGAGUCUGUGGUGAGCAUCGGGAGCACUGCGUUUCCUUCGGGAUUCACAGUCUAAAAAACGAAUUGUAAAAUAAAAUGUAAAGUAUAUAUAAACAAAAAAAGACGAAAAAAU
rnacentral:misc_RNA from 1 species